GUCUACGGCCAUACCACCCUGAACGCACCCAAUCUCAUCUGAUCUCGGAAGCUAAGCAGGGUCGGGCCUGGUUAGUACUUGGAUGGGAGGCGAAUGGUUCCUUCUCAU
rnacentral:rRNA from 1 species